UACGUAGGGACCGAGCGUUGUCCGGAAUCAUUGGGCGUAAAGAGCGUGUAGGCGGCUUGCUAAGUCUUGCGUGAAAUCUCGGGGCUCAACCCCGAGCGGUCGUGAGAAACUGGCAGGCUAGAGUGCGGGAGAGGAGAAUGGAAUUCCUGGUGUAGCGGUGAAAUGCGCAGAUAUCAGGAAGAACACCCGUGGCGAAGGCGGUUCUCUGGAACGCAACUGACGCUGAGACGCGAAAGCGUGGGGAGCAAACAGG
rnacentral:rRNA from 1 species